GAUGAACGCUAGCGAUAGGCCUAACACAUGCAAGUCGAGGGGCAUCACAUGAGGCAGCAAUGCCGAUGGUGGCGACCGGCGCACGGGUGAGUAACACGUAUGCAACCUGCCUUCAACAAGGGGAUAACCCGUUGAAAAACGGACUAAUACCCUAUAAUACAGGGGUCCCGCAUGGGAAUAUUUGUUAAAGGACAACCGGUUGAAGAUGGGCAUGCGUUCCAUUAGCUAGUUGGCGGGGUAACGGCCCACCAAGGCAACGAUGGAUAGGGGAACUGAGAGGUUUAUCCCCCACACUGGUACUGAGACACGGACCAGACUCCUACGGGAGGCAGCAGUGAGGAAUAUUGGUCAAUGGACGCAAGUCUGAACCAGCCACGUCGCGUGAAGGAAGACGGCCCUACGGGUUGUAAACUUCUUUAUACGGGAAUAAAGUGCCCCACGCGUGGGGUUUUGCAUGUACCGUAUGAAUAAGGAUCGGCUAACUCCGUGCCAGCAG
rnacentral:rRNA from 1 species